AGAGGAAGUUCAGGAUUUUGCAACUUGAUGUUUUCUCACUCUGAAAGUAGUCUCCUGGGCCUGAAGAAACAUUCAUCCAUGGUUUGGUUCUUUAAACAGCUGCUACAAACUUCAGCUAACUUUAGUUACCUACAUUAGGUAACAAUCAAUUUGAAGUGAAUGGGGUGUGUGCAUGUUAUUUUUAAUGGCCAAAUAACCUUUAAGUAGCAUCCAACCAAAUUUCAAAUCAAAAAGUAUAUUAGUCACGUACAUAGAUUUGCAGAUGUCAUCGCAGGUGCAGCAAAAUGUUUAUGAUUCUAGCUCCAACAGCACAGUAAUAUCUAGAGGCAGGGGCACAACUUUCACUGGGGACAGGGGGGACAUGACCCCCACACAUUCUGAAUAUGCAUUUUUGUCUCCCCCAGUUUUAUCAUUGCACUGUUAUAUAAAAAGUGUCAACAGUGUACUUUAGGACCAUGCAGACACCUCAGAGCGGUUGGGUAGGCUGUUUGACAGUUUCAACCGGCUGGAUUUAGGACUACACAGACACCAAAGGGUGUGUGAACAGAGGCAACUGUUGUCUGUGUGUUUUAUGCUUUUUCUCCGAGCUGUAAAAGGAAGCAGAGCAGAAACUGUCUACUCAUUAUUUGACUGAUGUAGCUUGCAAAGUAACUUGGGGUGGCAGGGUAGCCUAGUGGUUAGAGCAUUGGACUAGUAACCGGAAGGUUGCAAGUUCAACCCCCCGAGCUGACAAGGCACAAAUCUGUCAUUCUGCCCCUGAACAGGAUCCGAUGGUGACAGGGGUCUCAGCAGGGUCAGGAAACCAGGGAAGGCCAGUCUGUGAGAGCGCUGAGGUAAACUUUUGCAGAUGCAACAGUUUAUUCUCUCUGUGCAGUAAACACAGGAAAGCCAGAAGCUUCAAAGAUUGAAACUAUUUUAAGGCAGUCUGACAAACCUCUAAAAAUGUAUUUCCAAACUGUAUCAAGGUUUGAUAGAGGCUUUUCCUGAUGACACAAAACAUGUCAAAACAAAAAUGUGAGUUCGACCUGGGAGACAAGGAUUAAUGGAUACAGAUGUGUUUGAAUGCCAAGUCAUGCUCUUAAAUCUCAGACAUAAUUUACUGCAGUUUAAUACCAUCCACAGAACAUACUAUACUGAACAAAAAUAUAAAUGCAACAUGUAAAGUGUUGGUCCCAUGUUUCAUGACCUGAAAUAAAAUACCCCAGAAAAGUUCCAUAUGCACAAAAUGCUUAUUUCUCUAAAGUUUUUUUAACAGCUUGAUCAUUACACAGGUUCACCUUGGACUGGGGCCAAUAAAAGGCCAAUCUAAAAUGUGCCGUUUGUCACAACACAAUGCCACAGAUGUCUCAAAUUUUGAGUGAGCAUGCAAUUGGCAUGGUGACUGCAGGAAUGGCCACCAGAGCCUAUGGCAGAUAAUUUAAAUGUUUUUCUUCUCUACCAUAAGCCACCUCCAACUUCGUUUUAGAGAAUUUGGCAGUAUGUCCAACCGGCCUCAUAAUCGCAGACCACGUGUAACCACGCCAGCCCAGGACAUCCACAUCUAGCUUAUUCACCUGCUGAUUCGUUUAAGACCAGCCACCCGGACAGCUGAAACUGAAGAGUAUUUCUGUUUGUACAGUAUGUAUGUAUGUAUGUAUGUAUGUAUGUAUGUAUGUAUGUAUUCGGAAAGUAUUCAGACCCCUUGACUUUAACAUUUUGUUAAGUUACAGCCUUACUCUAAAAUUGAUUAUAUCAUUUGCUGUUAGCUAGCUAGCUGACAUUAGAUGGCUGGCUGGCUUGCUAGCUAACAUUACGUGUAUGAACUGUGUGUAGGGAUGUUCUCAGAAUGCCAUUUUGCAUCAAUUGUAUAAUAAUGCUAAAAUAUUUGUAUAUGGAAUUUGUCUUUCAGCAUCAGUAGAACACGCCUGACUCUCCUCCACCAGUCAUAUUACCAGGACGCCACCCAGGACACAAACACUUUGGUGGAAAGCUGCUGCCAUCCCAUGUGACAAUAGCAGCAGUGUGGCGUCUCCACAAGGAAUCGAUGGCAACACUUGAGCUACUUGUAGUCGGGCUGUCUUCCUUCAAGAAUCUGUGGAGAAAAUUGCUGCCCUGCAUGUCAAGCACUAAGCCCAGGACAGACCUGUGCUGGCAGUGCCAGAGGAACAACUAUCAGGUCUUCAGAUCUGCCGGAAGCUGUUGAAUCAGCCAAGCUGAAGAAGCAAGAGCAGCAUCUCCUGCUUGUUAAGAGUGCAAGGUCUGUCUACCAGAAUAUGUUUGUUGACUGCAAGAUCACCAACCUGCAGUUGUCUCUGGGGGGCCCUACUGAACCAGCAAGCAUUACAGCUUUGAUUUUGCUCAACAACAACGACCUGGGGAAUAGUUACAGUGGCUUCAGGACAAGUCUUUGAAUGUCCUUGAGUGGCCCAGCCACAGCCCAGACUUUAACAUC